rnacentral:rRNA from 3 species
GAGUAAUGUCUGGGAAACUGCCUGAUGGAGGGGGAUAACUACUGGAAACGGUGGCUAAUACCGCAUAACGUCGCAAGACCAAAGAGGGGGACCUUCGGGCCUCUUGCCAUCAGAUGUGCCCAGAUGGGAUUAGCUUGUUGGUGAGGUAACGGCUCACCAAGGCGACGAUCCCUAGCUGGUCUGAGAGGAUGACCAGCCACACUGGAACUGAGACACGGUCCAGACUCCUACGGGAGGCAGCAGUGGGGAAUAUUGCACAAUGGGCGCAAGCCUGAUGCAGCCAUGCCGCGUGUAUGAAGAAGGCCUUCGGGUUGUAAAGUACUUUCAGCGGGGAGGAAGGUGUUGUGGUUAAUAACCGCAGCAAUUGACGUUACCCGCAGAAGAAGCACCGGCUAACUCCGUGCCAGCAGCCGCGGUAAUACGGAGGGUGCAAGCGUUAAUCGGAAUUACUGGGCGUAAAGCG